UCUCCGUAGGUGAACCUGCGGAGGGAUCAUUACAGAGUUCGUGCCCUCACGGGUAGAUCUCCCACCCUGUGUUAUUAUACCUUUGUUGCUUUGGCGGGCCGCCCUCGGCUACCGGCCCCGGCUGGUACGCGCCCGCCAGAGGACCCCAAACUCUGAAUGUUUGUGUCGUCUGAGUACCAUACAAUAGUUAAAACUUUCAACAACGGAUCUCUUGGUUCUG
rnacentral:misc_RNA from 1 species